CAAAAUAUGAACGUUGUUAGAGCAGAUAACCUCACAGAUCUCCAUAGCCAAUUGUACUCCUCAUUUCGCAAAGCUUCUAGCUUCUUAAGUGGAAUAUUGCAAGCCAUUAUUGCCAGUGUUGCUGCCAAACCAGCCCAGGCUCCAACCCCUAGGUUUUGGUGGAGGACAUAGACAGCAAGAAAGAGUUGUAUGGGAUAAGCGGAGUCCCUUUUGAUAGAUAUGUGAUAUCAAAGCAGCCCGCAGCCUCAUCCCAAGCUGUCGAGCUCCGAAAAUCCACUGCCUCUGAGCAAUUGUUUCCACAACUUUGGCACUGAGAAAAGCAACAGCCAGAAGUUGUCUUGAAUCUCUGCCUGGACCACCUGAUUCUCUUGUACAGAAAUUGAACCAAGAUACUCAUGAUGAAUAUUAGAUGUAUUAGUGCAAAAGCGCCCAUCCAGAAGCAAGAGCUAGAAAAAAAAGAGAGAGAGAGGAAGCAGAAAGGAGAAGGAUGUUGAGCAAAGAAAACCCAUGGAGAUGCAGUGCAAUCAACACUCAAUGAUGGGGGAGGAGGAAUUCAGACGUAUGCAGCAUGAACCAAUCUACACCUCUGCAUGCAGAUGCAGCGGUGUGGUUGAGCCCUUACCUGAGGA